rnacentral:rRNA from 1 species
UCGAGCGGCAGCGCGGGGGCAACCCUGGCGGCGAGCGGCGGACGGGUGAGGAAUACAUCGGAAUCUGCCUUAUUGUGGGGGAUAACGUAGGGAAACUUACGCUAAUACCGCAUAAGACCGUAAGGUGAAAGUGGGGGACCGCAAGGCCUCACGCGAUAAGAUGAGCCGAUGUCGGAUUAGCUAGUUGGUGAGGUAAUGGCUCACCAAGGCGACGAUCCGUAGCUGGUCUGAGAGGAUGAUCAGCCACACUGGAACUGAGACACGGUCCAGACUCCUACGGGAGGCAGCAGUGGGGAAUAUUGGACAAUGGGCGCAAGCCUGAUCCAGCCAUGCCGCGUGGGUGAAGAAGGCCUUCGGGUUGUAAAGCCCUUUUGUUGGGGAAGAAAUCGUGCGGUUGAAUAUUCCGCGCGGAUGACGGUACCCAAAGAAUAAGCACCGGCUAACUUCGUGCCAGCAGCCGCGGUAAUACGAAGGGUGUAAGCGUUA